rnacentral:rRNA from 1 species
CCUACGGGGAGCAGCAGUAGGGAAUCUUCCACAAUGGGCGAAAGCCUGAUGGAGCAACGCCGCGUGGGUGAAGAAGGUCUUCGGAUCGUAAAACCCUGUUGUUAGAGAAGAAAGUGCGUGAGAGUAACUGUUCACGUUUCGACGGUAUCUAACCAGAAAGCCACGGCUAACUACGUGCCAGCAGCCGCGGUAAUACGGGGGGUGCAAGCGUUGUCCGGAAUCAUUGGGCGUAAAGAGUUCGUAGGCGGCACGUAAAGUCUGGUGGUAAAGGCAGAGGCUCAACUUCUGUACGGCACUGGAUACUUGCGAGCUAGAAUGCGGUAGAGGUAAAGGGAAUUCCUGGUGUAGCGGUGAAAUGCGUAGAUAUCACGAAGAACUCCGAUUGCGAAGGCAGCUCACUGGACUGCAACUGACACUGAGGCUCGAAAGUGUGGGUAUCAAACAGGAUUAGAUACCCCGGUAGUC